rnacentral:rRNA from 1 species
GUAAGGAAUAUUGGACAAUGGUCGAAAGACUGAUCCAGCCAUGCCGCGUGAAGGAUGAAGGCCCUAUGGGUUGUAAACUUCUUUUGUAUGGGAAAAAACCUCUCUACGUGUAGAGAGCUGAUUGUACCAUAAGAAUAAGGAUCGGCUAACUCCGUGCCAGCAGCCGCGGUAAUACGGAGGAUCCAAGCGUUAUCCGGAUUCAUUGGGUUUAAAGGGUGCGUAGGCGGAAUGAUAAGUCAGUGGUGAAAGCCUGCAGCUUAACUGCAGAACUGCCAUUGAUACUGUCAAUCUUGAGUACAUUUGAUGUGGGCGGAAUGUGUCAUGUAGCGGUGAAAUGCUUAGAUAUGACACAGAACACCGAUUGCGAAGGCAGCUCACAAAACUGUAACUGACGCUGAGGCACGAAAGCGUGGGUAUCAAACAGGAUUAGAUACCCGUGUAGUCC